rnacentral:rRNA from 1 species
AGAGUUUGAUACUGGCUCAGAUUGAACGCUGGCGGCAGGCCUAACACAUGCAAGUCGAACGGUAACAGGAAGCAGCUUGCUGCUUCGCUGACGAGUGGCGGACGGGUGAGUAAUGUCUGGGAAACUGCCUGAUGGAGGGGGAUAACUACUGGAAACGGUAGCUAAUACCGCAUAACGUCGCAAGACCAAAGAGGGGGACCUUAGGGCCUCUUGCCAUCGGAUGUGCCCAGAUGGGAUUAGCUAGUAGGUGGGGUAACGGCUCACCUAGGCGACGAUCCCUAGCUGGUCUGAGAGGAUGACCAGCCACACUGGAACUGAGACACGGUCCAGACUCCUACGGGAGGCAGCAGUGGGGAAUAUUGCACAAUGGGCGCAAGCCUGAUGCAGCCAUGCCGCGUGUAUGAAGAAGGCCUUCGGGUUGUAAAGUACUUUCAGCGGGGAGGAAGGGAGUAAAGUUAAU